rnacentral:lncRNA from 1 species
UCGGGCUUUAUCUGAUUUUGUGGUUGUGAGAAAAAUUCCUUUGCAUUGCGUGCCACCUCCGCCUCAGCUAUUGCUUCCAACACUAGGUCUGAUCCAUUGAUAUCAUCUGAAAGCACACAAAUUAGCUAUUUCAGUAUUAAGUAAAACAAGACAUACAAGAAAACAUUUCAUCUCUCUUGAAAUUUCCGAGAGGUCAUUUACAUAGACAAAACUGCAGCAGAUGCACAAUUUUUAAUUGUGGAAGGAUGUCUCAUAAAGAAAGACAUCACACAUGACACAUGAUUGUUCAGAGAUACUUGUUCAAUUCACUGAUCUGAUAAGAGUCCCUGCCCAACUACCAGUACAACUAAAAACAAGAGGGGUAAGCUGUCUAUGGAUCACUAUUAUUAAAACCAACAUAUCAAGCAUCAAACAUAUGAUAACUUGACCAGAAGGUUUUUACCCCUGCGGCUUGGCAACAAUCCUGCACUUUCUGCAGAUACAGGAAGGACAGUAAGAAGACCAGAGGCAACGGUUUGCUCAUUGAAAGCUUCACUAUUCAUAGAUCCAGAUUCUGAAGCAGCGGAUCCUGCUAAUCUUUCAUACGCAGUUGCCUGGCUGUGAAUAUUAGAUGAACUUGAGGUUGCUGGUUUAGAAUCCUACAAACAAUUGACCCAAGCUUAUAAAAAAAAUCGAUUACAAAAGAAACAAGAGAUAUUCUAGUACAGAGUUAAUGUUAGAUAUCGUUGAACAAACCUUAGGAGUAGUGGUUGACAUUGUGUUCACUUUAUUAACUGUUUCUGGUUCCAUGUUCCCUAGUGCCAUAGAAAAAGGAUAACCAAAUCAGGUGCUCACACAAGAAAUAUAUAGCGACAGAAGGAUAAUUAUAAAGAAAUUAGCUGAAGAUGAAACCAUUAGUUGCAGAUGUGCGAUCAAGACUGUCCACCAAUCUCCUUGUCAAUGGACCAGGAUUCAUGAAAGAUAUGGAUCGAAUUUCAUGACGUAUGGCAUCUAGUUGAGCCAUUGUAUCUUGUAGUUCUUUAUGCACCUAGAAUUAAAGAAUAAAAAAAUGAAGGUCACUAUCCUACAAAAUAUCAAGACUUUAAUAUCAACUACUCUAAGAUGACAGACAACAUGAAAUUAAAGCAUAUGCUAAAUAGAUAUUUAUCAAUGUUACCAUUAAUGGAUCUGGGAAUUACGCACACAUAUAUUACUUUAAGUACAUUUACUGAAGGAUUAUGGGACUCUGGUGAAAUUUAAUUUAUUAUUAUUAUUAUUAUUUUGUCUUUUGGGGUAAUCUAAAAAAAUUGAGGGACAUCCUUGAAAUUAUGAAUGACAUAUAAUAGAACUUUUUAAACCUCAGGGAAGGUAACCACAACCCUUGGCCCCUCCCACCCUCCCUCUCCCCUUUUUUAUGUUUAUCACUAUAUUCAGAAUUUAACAUAGCAACUCUUUCACAAUAAUAGCCGAUCAAAAAGUCAAUACUAAUGAUGAAGAGUAUUGUCAAUAUACAGAUUGCGUCAAACGUAUAUUCAACACCAUCCAACAGAGACAUAAUACUAUCACUCAAUUUAAAGUAUGGCUUUUAGAUGAAAAACUAAAACUUAAAUCAAGAUAGAGUGCAUAGACAAAAUAUAAUUCAACUCUCAAUAUUCCAAUACAAUAAUUUAUGAUAUGUGCAUCCAUGAGUAAUACAUAAUGGUGUGUAUGUGUUUAUAAAUACAGACAUACCUGCUGGGCUUGAGAUUGUUGCAUGACAUUUUCAAACUGGCCACGAGCUAAUUGAACAUAAGCAAUGGCACGACCAGCUAACCUUCCUGCAGCUCUUGAUAUACGCGGGAAAUCUUUAGGGCCUAAUAGUUUUUCAUUGGAGCAAUCAAAUAGCAAAUUUUAAGUACUUGCCAUCAAAUUAAACAUAAUGUAAAUAAAUAGCUGGAAAAUGUAAAAGUUCACCCACAAAUUAUGCACACACACAUAAAACUAGGUCACUAGAAUCAAAUAGAAUCAGACACCCAGAGUUAAAUUUCAUUUUAAUUAUAAGAUUAUAGGAAUGACCAUCAAAUUGAAGCCUAUUAAAGCUUAAAUUAACUGACUCGUACAAGCAUCAACAAAUAUAGAGAUUAAGGGUACCGGUGAGAGCAGCAGCUGCUCCAAUUAAGAGGAGGAGCUGCCCAUAAGAAAGACCAAGCAUUCCUGCGCUAUUCCUGUGGAGCAGAUUCAAAAGUUACGAAUCAGAAAAAACAAAUAGCAAAUAUUCAUGAAUCAUGUAAAAAGAACAUAAAACAUAAAUUAUUCUGAAGAAGGAUUCCCAAUUUCUAGUUACAGAGAAUUUUAAUGUAGAGAGAAGAGAUUGCACCUUCAAUUGUUGGAAAUCCUAUGGUGAUGGUGGUGGUGGUGAUUAGACGGCGGUUCACGACGGAGCUUGAUGGGAAUGGUGGACCGUGGUGGCUACUAGAGAAAUCUGAAUGGAACAACUAGACCAUCAUUUUGUCACGAACUGCAUUCUUGGCUUCACCAAUUCUCUUUACAAGCUUAAUUACUCGUGUAAAGAACAGUAAGCAUAUCAACGGUAAUUUUGAAAUAUGAUAUAUUUGAGCAAUACUUUAUUUAGAUGAUUCGAUAAGCUUCACCGCUGAUGAGACUGAUGAAUGAGUCAAGACUGAUGGGGCCUGCCACUGCCUGACAUGGCAGCAUAGGGCAGUGUGAGCUUACUUUAUUUUGGUCCGUUGAGUCAUUAGUGGGUCCACUCCUUUUUUAAAAAAAAAUCUUUUACUGGUGGUGCGUUGUCGCAAUGUGGUUGUGGGUGUGGGCUGAUUGAUUAGCUAAUUAUUUAAAACAUAAGUUAUGGAAUCACAAGUUGUGGGUUGGUCCAAUUUGAUUUUUUUUAAUAUCUUGACAUGUUGGGCUGUUGGGCUAGGCUGCUAAGAUAUUAACAAAAAAGACCAAGUGCGAACAGGCCAGACCUAAGGCUCUAGACCAGGCCAGGCCGCUGGUCAGCCUGUUGUGCACACUAAAGGCAUCCGGUCUGGACUGGACUGGACUGCCAGGCCUUGGCCGUUGAUCAGGCCAGACUGGGCCUGCAGGCUAGGCCAGGCCAGACUUGACAAUGAAAGAGAUGAUCUGUUGAGGCCUGCGAGACCAGGCUAGGCCAAGCCUAGGACAGCCCAGCACCCUUUUUUUUAAAAAAAAAGGACUAUUGUUACUAUUGGAUAUAUAUAUAUAUAUAUAGAACUAUUACAUAACAUAUGUUAGCUGGGAGCACCAGAUUUUACAUCGUUAAUUCAGAGAUCCAAUAGCCCAAAGAGGAACUCGCUGCACCUCUUGCGGCCAGAGAAUUUUUUUUGUUGGCCACAUGUAAGAGGUGCGGCCAGAAGAAAUGUCUAAAACGCCCCCACCUUAGUUAGAUUUAAAUAGUUUUCGUGUAUAAAAUAUUUGUAAGGUAAUUGUUUAAAUUUUCAAUAAUCAAAUUAUCACAAUAGUUGACAAUGUUAAAUUAUAUUACAUAAGAAAUUAUUUAUACAAAUAUUUUAUGUUAAAAAUAGUUGAUAAUUGUAAACAUUAAAUAUGUAUGAAUAAUUUCUUAAGUAAUAAAAUUUAACAUUGUCAACUAUAUUUAAUGUAUUUAUUUUUAUAAAUAUGAUAUAUUUGAGCAAUACUUUAUUUUGAUGAUUCAAUAAGCUUCACGACUGAUGAGACUGAUGAAUGAGUCAUGACUGAUGGAGCCUGCCACUGCCUGACAUGGCAGCAUAGGGCAGUGUAAGUUUCUUUUAUUUUGGUCCGUUGUUGGUUGAGUCAUGAGUGGACCACUCCUUUUUUUAAAAAUAAAUCUGUUGUUGGUGCCUUGUGGCAACGUGGUUGUGGGUGGGCUGAUUGAUUAGCUAAUUAUUUAAAACAUAAGUUAUGGGUUGCAGACUUGCAGCCUAAAAUCAUAAGUUGUGGGCUGGUCCAAUUUGAAUUUUUUUUAAUAUCUUGACAUGUUGGGCUGUUAGGCUGGGCUGCUAUGAUAAUUAAAAAAAAAGACCAAGUGCGAACAAGAGGCCUAAGGCUCUAGACCAUGCCAGGCCCAGGCCAGUCCAAGCCAGGCUUUUAACCAGGCCAGACCAAAUUUUUCCUUCCAAACAGUGACCUUUUUACAGCCUUCAGGUCAGGCCUGACCAAUCCAGGCCUUAAUCAGGUCGGCCUGGCCUUGGUCCGGGGCCUUUGACCAAACUUUAGACCUGCAGGCUAGGCAAGGUCAGACUUGGCGAUGGAAGAGAUGAUCAGCUUAGGCCUGCGGACCAGGCCAGGCCGAGGCCAGUCUGGCCCAGCUCAGCACCCAUUGUUUUUAAAAAAACGUAAUAUAUUAAAAAAAAAGGACUAUUGUUACUGUUGGAUAUAUACAUAUAUAAGGGACUAAUCCAUAACUAACGUUGUCAAAUUAAGAUUACACUUGCAACAAAUCGUGAGCGUCCAUCCGUAGAUUGAACGGUUAAUAAAGCCCCCGUCUACAGUUUAAUUUUCAAUAUUCCGCAGUUUAAAAUUGUGAACAGGACAAAUGUUCAAAAAGCAUUAAACUACGGAUGCUAGGUAUGGCUAACUGGGAAACGACGCCGUUUGUAAAUGAGUCAUGUCCGCAAUAUUAAACUGCGGAUACCAAAUUCAAUUUUUUUUUUUUAGUUUUCAAGGCUCUGUUUGUAAAGUGAGAGGAAUCCAAAAAUUGCAAAAGUUUUGUUGAUACCAAAAAUAAGUGCUUCUAUAUGGGUCAAAUUGUAUUGCAACUUGACACAAACUAAAUUCUUUUGGAUUGAUUUUCAUUACAUUGCCGCAAUUGUUUUUAGUCGACCAAACAAACAUACCAGUACAGGAAGAUUAUAUACUUUCUCACUGCAUCACAAAGUUUACAAUGUCAUGCAUGUACUUCACAACACAAAGAUGUUGCAGGCAUUCAGGAACUACGACGGAUUUAAUUUUUCGGCUCACACUUAGUUGCAAUUACUAGUACAAUAAUAAAAUACGCAUGAAACUUUGCCGUCAAUAAUAAAACACGCAUGAAACUUUGCCUUGAUGUGUUAUGAUCACAAAACCAACAGUCACAAAAACUUACCAGCUGCUAAAAAUAUAAUAUGCGCUUCCCCAAUAGGAUCCUUGAGAUAGGAUCCUGGAGUCUCAAGCUGCAUUUUAAUCAUCUCAAUGAUUUGAAUUUUGUGGCAAGCGAAAGGAACCGCCCCCAUAAAGCAUUUCAUAAACAGGAUUUAUUCGUAGUCAGACAGGACUUAUUUAGAAACGGAGCCUUGAAAACUAAAAAAUGAAUUUGGCAUUCCCAAUUUAAUAUACUACAGAAGGGACUUAUUUACAAACGGUGUCGUUUCCCGUCCGCAAUAUUAAACUAUGGAAUACUAAAAACUAAACUGCGGACGAGUUUCUAUUAACCGUUUGAUCUAUGGACACUCUUGUAAGGAUAACCUUAAUUUGACAAGGCUUUUUCAAACAAACCAACAAAAUUACCUUAAAUUGGUAAAUCAAGCAAUAUAUUUCAAAACAGAUUCAUAAUCAACACUAAUUGCAUGUGUAAAUCUACAUAUUUCUCAGCAUAAUUAAGCAACAUAAUAAAUUGGGUUAAUACUAAUCAAGAAAAAUACUAAUUCUAAAUUCUAAUUUUCCAAGAAUGAAUUGAAGGAAUACCUCUAAUCUUUGGGGGCUAAUUUUUUUCUCCGGCAGAGAUUGAAACUGUAGGUCUAACUUUCGCAGGGCUUUCCGGACAUGUGAGCUUGCAAAUUCAUUUUGACCCUUUCGAAUACGACCUAAUUGAUGAUCAAUUUUCAAAAUCUCAUCGUCAAUUCGUGGCCCAUCUUAACAAAAGGCCCAAUUUUUUAGAGGGGGAACGAUUGAGAAAUUGAGGAAUAUAUGAAUUGAAAACUUGACAUACUUUAGGGAUAUUAUGUCUUCAAGCCUAUUCUCUUUGACUUUGAGGGUUCAUAUUUGUUUGGAGUUUGACGAUCUCCUUUCUUCCGCUAUCAAUCUUUCUCCAAGAGCUUUUCAAUACUCUAGAAAAAGCCGAAAGAGGGAGAGGCUUCUUGACCGCUCUAUUAUUUUUUAUUUUUUCUCCUCCUCCUACCACUUAUAUUAAAAACUAAUUACAAAUUUAGGCUCUUAUUUAUCAUGUUUUAGCGAAAGUGUUUUCUAAAUUAUUCUUUUAGCACAAAUUCUCCUCAUAGUUAAAUUAAUUGUAUAAAACUAUAAUUCUAACCCUUUUUAUUAGUAAAAAACGAAUUUUGUUAAUGAAUUUUGUCGAAAAGUGUUAUCAUAUUAUUCAUAUUUUAAUGUAUGAUUAUUAUAGUCAUUUUAGUAGUUAAACCUAUUUGAAAUGUAUUUGAGAACAACAAUAUUUACAUUCAUGACCGAAAAACGGGCAAAGACAAGUUAGAAAGCGUCAAUUUAGGGUUAAAAUUCAUCUCAAUUUGAGUGAACCUUGUGGGUUUCAAUUUAGGACUGAAAUAUAUAUGAUACAAACAGUUGAACUUGCACACAUACCCAAAAAUCCCGAAUUCACACAAGUCCGCGGUUGGGCGGUACUAGGCCAUGCGCCAUGUCCCAAAUUUUUAUAAAGGCUCUAGAGAGUUUGCCAAAAGCUCUCAUAGGAAGCAGCCUACACCUCCACCUUUAUAUGGGUGAACCCAUCAAGUGUAAACUGACAUUAAGAAUCUAUAUGAUACAUCCUAUCACAAUUUGUCAGUAAGCACCAUAUGCACAUAGGGAGAGAUAUAAAUAAUUGCAGUGCUAUAAUUAAAUAAUUACAUAACUUGUUACCCAUUGAACCUCAUUCAUGGGAUCUCUAAUCACAUAGGUUGGGUUUCCAUCACAUAUUACUAGGGCUGAGCAAAAAACGAAUAAAACCGAAUAAGCGAACACAACCGAAUUUUUUUUAACCGAAUUAUUUCGGUUAUUUUUGUUAAUUCGAUUUUAACCGUUUUAAUAUUUUGGUAUUCAGAUAUGGAUACGGUUAUUGAAAUAUUGUUAUUCGGUUAACCGAAUAGAUUUAAAAAAAAUUAAAUAUAUAAACUUUUAAGAGACUUUUAAGUUUUAACUCUCAGACUCUCAAUAUCUGGUUAAGGUUAAGUGCCCUCAUUGUGGUUCAUACAAUACCAUGCUUCUAUGACUCAAAUUCAAUGUGAGUUUGGCUAGUUAGAUCUCUCUAGUCUUUAGUAACUUUGUACAAGUUUUUUUUUUGCAUAUUUAAAUAAUAAUAAUAAUACUAGAAAAAGGAGUUCCCUCAAUUUUUUUAGAUUACCCCAAAAGACAAAAUAAUAAUAAUAAUAAUAAAUUAAAUUUCACCAGAUUCCCCUAAUCCUUCAGUCAAUGUACUUAAAGUAACAUGUGUAAUUCCCAGAUCCAUUAAUGGUAACAUUGAUAAAUAUCUAUUUAGCAUAUGCUUUAAUUUCAUGUUGUCUGUCAUCUUAUUAUAGUUGAUAUUAAAGUCUUGAUAUUUUGUAGGAUAAUGACCUUCAUUUUUUUAUUCUUUAAUUCCAGGUGCAUACAGAACUACAAGAUACAAUGGCUCAACUAGAUGCCAUACGUCAUGAAAUUCGAUCCAUAUCUUUCAUGAAUCCUGGUCCAUUGACAAGGAGAUUGGUCGACAGUCUUGAUCGCACAUCUGCAACUAAUGGUUUCAUCUUCAUCUAAUUUCUUUAUAAUUAUCCUUCUGUCGCUAUAUAUUUCUUGUGUGAGCACCUGAUUUAGUUAUCCUUUUUCUAUUGUGCUAGGGAACAUGGAACCAGAAACAGUUAAUAAAGUGAACACAUUGACAAUCACUACUCCUAAGGUUCGUUCAACGAUAUCUAACAUUAACUCUGUACUAGAAUAUCUCUUGUUUCUUUUGUUACCGAUUUUUUUUAUAAGCUUGGUCAAUUGUUUGUAGGAUUCUAAACCAACAACCUCCAGUUCAUCUAAUAUUCACAGCCAAGCAAAAUUAAAAACUCACCACCUAUUUACUCGGGCUUUAUCUGAUUUUGUGGUUGUCAAAAAAUUCCUUUGCAUUGCGUGCCACCUCUGCCUCAGCUAUUGCUUCCAACACUAGGUCUGAUCCAUUGAUAUCAUCUGAAAGCACACAAAUUAGCUAUUUCAGUAUUAAGUAAAACAAGACAUACAAGAAAACAUUUCAUCUCUCUUGAAAUUUCCGAGAGGUCAUUUACAUAGACAAAACUGCAGCAGAUACACAAUUUUUAAUUGUGGAAGGAUGUCUCAUAAAGAAAGACAUCAC